AGAGGAUGAUCAGCCACACUGGGACUGAGACACGGCCCAGACUCCUACGGGAGGCAGCAGUGGGGAAUAUUGCACAAUGGGCGAAAGCCUGAUGGCAGCCAUGCCGCGUGUGUGAAGAAGGCUCUAGGGUUGUAAAGCACUUUCAGUUGGGGAGGAAAAGCUCAAAAUUAAUACUUUUUGAGCCUUGACGUUACCUGCAGAAGAAGCACCGGCAAACUCCGUGCCAGCAGCCGCGGUAA
rnacentral:rRNA from 1 species